UAUCAAUAAGCGGAGGAAAAGAAACCAACAGGGAUUGCCCUAGUAACGGCGAGUGAAGCGGCAACAGCUCAAAUUUGAAAUCUGGCUCUCGGGCCCGAGUUGUAAUUUGUAGAGGAUACUUUUGAUGCGGUGCCUUCCGAGUUCCCUGGAACGGGACGCCAUAGAGGGUGAGAGCCCCGUCUGGUUGGAUGCCAAAUCUCUGUAAAGUUCCUUCAACGAGUCGAGUAGUUUGGGAAUGCUGCUCUAAAUGGGAGGUAUAUGUCUUCUAAAGCUAAAUACCGGCCAGAGACCGAUAGCGCACAAGUAGAGUGAUCGAAAGAUGAAAAGCACUUUGAAAAGAGAGUUAAAAAGUACGUGAAAUUGUUGAAAGGGAAGCGUUUAUGACCAGACUUGGGCUUGGUUAAUCAUCUGGGGUUCUCCCCAGUGCACUUUUCCAGUCCAGGCCAGCAUCAGUUUUCCCCGGGGGAUAAAGGCGGCGGGAAUGUGGCUCUCUUCGGGGAGUGUUAUAGCCCACCGUGUAAUACCCUGGGGGGGACUGAGGUUCGCGCAUCUGCAAGGAUGCUGGCGUAAUGGUCAUCAACGACCCGUCUUGAAACACGGACCAAGGAGUCGUCUUCGUAUGCGAGUGUUCGGGUGUCAAACCCCUACGCGUAAUGAAAGUGAACGCAGGUGAGAGCUUCGGCGCAUCAUCGACCGAUCCUGAUGUUCUCGGAUGGAUUUGAGUAAGAGCAUACGGGGCCGGACCCGAAAGAAGGUGAACUAUGCCUGUAUAGGGUGAAGCCAGAGGAAACUCUGGUGGAGGCUCGCAGCGGUUCUGACGUGCAAAUCGAUCGUCAAAUAUGGGCAUGGGGGCGAAAGACUAAUCGAACCUUCUAGUAGCUGGUUUCCGC
rnacentral:rRNA from 1 species